UAGUUAUAUACAAAAGAAGCAGUACAAAAAAUGAGAGAUUUUACGGCGGCUGUGAACCGCCACAAUUGGAAACAUAGAAUGGCGUUUUUAGACACGCCACAUUAAGCUUUUAAAUUACGGCGGUUGAUGUCGAUUGCGGUGGUUUUAAACCGCCGUUAUGUUUGAUUAUUAUUUUUUUAACAUAUUUUCAUCAACUUGUUCAGACCAAAAAAUUUCUCUCAACAAAUUUUUAGACUCCCUCCGCCGCUCUGACCAAAAAUUAGAACUCCUUCACUCCUCCCAAAUAAACCUUAGUCUUGCAAUUUCCUCUCUCCCUCUCCCUUUUAUCGAUAUGGCGCAGAUCGUCGGUCGCCGUAGCUUGCGACUCCCUCGUCUCACCAAGGAUCUCGAUUGGAAAACGCCGCUAGUCUCCAAUAAAGUUUCGGAGGAGUUCAGCAACCUCCAUCUCCAAACAAAUUUCAGCGAGUGAAUUGGAAAGGGAUUUUGACGAAGCUAUCAAUUUUGUGGAUGAAGGAAAAGGGAAGGCUGGCGGAUUGGAGAAUUGGGGGCGUGAAUUGUUGAUGCAGUUAUUUGGUUGUGAUGGCAGGGAAACUUGCCUUGUACCUCAACCAAUGGCAUUGAAAGUAUCUGCUCGCGUGGAAUACAUGGCAAGGACCCGGGAGCAUGAUCCGGGAGGAGGCUAUGGAGCAGUACAUUAAGCUAAUCUCAGAAAAUGUUCCAAGAUGGAAUAAGGCACAUAUAUCAGAACUAUGCCACAUCGCAUAGCAUCCCAAAAAGGAUGUAACAUACUAUUAGUCGGCAUUAUUUCUAGGAUUUAUUGUAGAUAUUUCCCUUAUUAUAGUAAAUGGAUGUAAAAUACUGUUGUCAAAAUUCUAAUACAUUUUAUGGUGUAUUUUGAAGUGCUUAUAUUUUUAUA